GACGAACGCUGGCGGCGUGCUUAACACAUGCAAGUCGAACGGAAAGGCCCUGCUUUUGUGGGGUGCUCGAGUGGCGAACGGGUGAGUAACACGUGAGUAACCUGCCCUUGACUUUGGGAUAACUUCAGGAAACUGGGGCUAAUACCGGAUAGGAGCUCCUGCUGCAUGGUGGGGGUUGGAAAGUUUCGGCGGUUGGGGAUGGACUCGCGGCUUAUCAGCUUGUUGGUGGGGUAGUGGCUUACCAAGGCUUUGACGGGUAGCCGGCCUGAGAGGGUGACCGGCCACAUUGGGACUGAGGUACGGCCCAGACGCCUACGGGAGGCAGCAGUGGGGAAUAUUGCGGAAUGGGCGGAAGCGUGAUGCAGCAACGCCGGGUGCGGGAUGACGGCCUUCGGGUUGUAAACCGCUUUCGCAUGUGACGAAGCGUGAGUGACGGUAAUGGGUAAAGAAGCACCGGCUAACUACGUG
rnacentral:rRNA from 1 species